rnacentral:lncRNA from 1 species
CAAAUAUUUUCUUUUUGAAAACUUAGAUUUGGCAUGUGUGGUCUUGAAUUUCAGCACCAUGAUUCUUCUUGUGACCCCAGUGCUUCCUGUACCAUACUGCAAUCAUUCUCGCCCAGUGUUCCGCUGUGAUGGUGUUUGUCCUUUCAGCAAAUUCACAGGAAAUGAGACGUCCUGAGCCGGGGAGGCAGCUCCUUGAUCCAGGC